UGGUUCCAUAUUUACGGACCGA
rnacentral:piRNA from 1 species